GUGACGCUGGAAGAACCCUUCAGAGCACUGGUAGCGCACCACGGAAUGGAUGUCGUAGUGUGACCUCCUUCGACCCACCAAAUGGGCGUUCUCCACCAUGGGUGGUGUCCCACACAGCACUGCAGAAAAACAAUCAAGGUCCUGUUCCUGUGUCCCUUUGUGCAUUCAAGUGAUCCAGAGAUGAGAGAAAUCAUAGAUGGCAGCAUUGCUGCUGCAGCUUACAGUAGAGCAGCGCUGGUGGACCAGAGGGAGGUAAUGGUCUCUGCAGCAGACAUGGACUAGAGCCAAACCACAGAGUCACAAACCACGGCUGGAAUAACAAACACCAUCAACUAUUCUUUUCUUUUCUCCCUCUACUUCCACAUCUUUCUUCUUCCAUCUUUUUUUUUUCAUAUUUUCUUGGACAUCCUCCAUCUCCUCUGAUCGUCUACGAUUAUGUAGCUCCUAACGUAUUGACAUUCAGGCUGGUUGAGCCAGAUCAGGCAGAUAAGAGUGUCCCGGUGCUUCUACAUGAAAUUGUGUACAAUAUUUCCAUGUUGUUAAAUCAUAAAAAAACUCCCACAUGUUAGGUAUAAACAUAUGCUUGGGAAAAUGGAAUAAAAAGUUUGAAGGUAAUAAAACAGAAGUUCUGCCGACUGUGCAGAGCCUGGUAGGAGGAAGCAGAUGUGCAACCAGUUAUAUUGAAUUAGUGGGAGUGAUGUGGAAGAGAUAGAACAACUCCCUUGGUGUUCUGGAGGAUAAAUCACUUUACAAAGAAAGACACGAAAAGUCAAAACUGCUAAAUCACAUGGAGUCGGUGUACGUUGCUUGAAGAAACCUCCCUGGGUUUACUGCUCCUCAGUGAAGGGUUAAACUCCGAGGACAGAUGUUGUCGUAGAUAUAUGUGCAACAAUGAUUUUGCUUCUUCUGAAACUGUGAAACUGUUACUGUAUUUGUACUGUAGCUGCACUGCGG